AGGUAGUCCUUAUUUUUUAAUUAGUCCAAUUAUGAGAUAGUGGUUGAAAAUGGUUUGGUAAUGUGGUAAAUUGAAUUAAUUUUUUUAAGGUUAAAUUUGUAAUUUGAUAAUUAAGUAAAGUAAAAAUAAAAUAAACAAAGGUGUCAUCUUCUACCCAUUAUUUUUCCAAUGAAAAAUGAGAAAGAAAACACCAUGGAUAUAGCUUCAAAGGUUCGACCAUCUCAAGGUUUAAUUGUAAGUUCAUUUUUGACUCGGUUUUUAAUAAUUUC
rnacentral:lncRNA from 1 species